UAGUUCCUCUCCUCUUCCCCACCAGGGUCCUCAGCCACACACCCCGAGCCCUGCCUGCGGGCCCAGCCCCCCCAUUUCCGGAGCCUGCGCCCCGGACCCAGCGGGGGCUGAUCCCUGGGAAAGGCCUGGCUUCCUCUUCCUUCCUGUCCCUGCCCCACCUCCGCCGGGCUCCACAGCCGCCGGGAGCCCAGGGCCGAGACGGGAGGAGGGCACCCACCUGGUCGGUGUCACAUGCUGCUUCGGCCCCAGCGUCCCCUCCAGGUCCCGGCGCCGGCCGCAGUCCCCAGAGCCGUCCCCAGCGCAGGCCCGGCCGCCCCACCCGCGGCCCGCCCCUGGCCGCCCGACGGGAGGGAGGGAUCGGGUUCUCCUAGGAAGUUUCAGGUCAUUCAACAUUUAUUCAACCAAAAAUACUAAGUCAGCUCUAUACAAACUAAUGGAAGGAUACAGCUAUGCAAAUAUAGAACACUAAAGUGUUACAUGACAGAUGUAUGAGGGGAAGAGUGCUGGAUUCAGAGCCCACCUCAGGGGAAGACAGGACCCUCUCCAAGAUGGUUUCCCUAGAAGCUACUACCUCUCCCUGGAGGGUGGAGAUAUUUGCUGGUCAAAGGCUUGUCAUUUAUAUCUGUUGCACUUCACCGGGGUGUGGAAAGAAAAAUAAAGAAAAGAUUCUAAUGUUUAUGGAUGGCCUACUAGGCACUAGACUUUUCAUAUGAUCAGGAGCAUUUUUGUGUGUCCCCAAAGCAAUUCACUGUGGACAUAUACAGCUGGAACACAGGAGAUGAGCAUGCAGGAGGUUUCAUGGCCCAGCUCCUCCAGUGAUCCCUCAGCUGUCAACCAGGCUGAGCACAUCAGAGAAUAACACCUCCUUUUCUGAGGAUUCUGAUACAUUUUCAAUCAGAAACAGAAGCAAAGAUUCUGCAGCUCCCACAGAAACUCCCAGAAACCU
rnacentral:lncRNA from 1 species